AUGAGAGCUUUAUUCUGGAAUAUUCGUGGUUUCGGUGCUAAGGGGCGCCGUGACCAGAUUCAUGACUUGGUUUGUGGUGAACAUAUUGACAUUUUAGGGCUGGUCGAAACGUUUAAGGAAUCCUUUUCCCCUUCUGAACUCUCUGCGAUAGCUGGGAUGGAUAGGUUUGAUUGGCACUUUCUCCCCGCCUCGGGUCAUUCCGGGGGAAUCUUGAUUGGGUCCAAGCGGGACGUUUUUUAUUUCAUUGCUUUUGAUCAUGGCAUCUUUUGGGCUAGCUGUGUGGUUCAUCAUCGUCAGCUGAACACUUCGUGGGAAUUUAUGGUGGUAUAUGGCCCUGCGGAUCACACGCUUGCUCCUCUCUUUUUGGACGAAAUAUCGAUUAAGAUCGAAGCAUGUAAUAUUCCUCUGCUAAUUGGGGGUGAUUUCAAUUUGUUACGUUCUCCGACCGACAAGAAUAAUCCUAAUUUCUUCUGGCCUCUUGCCAAUGCUUUUAAUGAUUUCAUUAGUAACUGCGCGCUGCGUGAGCUCACUAGGGUGGGGGCGCGUUUCACCUGGUCUAACCAUCAAUCCUCGCCUGUCCGGUCGGUGUUGGACAGGGUUUUUGUUUCUGUUCAGUGGGACUCGCUGUUUCCCGCGCGCUGCUUAAGGCUAGGCCUGCGGUGGGCUCUGAUCAUGUUCCCCUGA
rnacentral:rRNA from 1 species